CUUAACUCAAAAAAAUCUCCAUCAUAUUCACCAUGGACUCUUCAGAAUUCCACUUAGAACUAACCAACAUUCUAAACUCAGAGUGAAGCAUCCAACUAUCAAGACACUGGAAAGGUCUUGUCCCCUCUACCUGGCGAGGUUUAAGGGAUAAAAAAUUGGAUGAUGAUUAGAUUUUAGUCAGUGUAGACUCUGAACCAAGCAUUCAGACGCAAAAAUAUCAAAACUAGCAUUCCCUAUAGCCCGG
rnacentral:lncRNA from 1 species